rnacentral:SRP_RNA from 1 species
GCUGGGUGUGGUGUGGGCACCUGUAAUCCCAGCUACUUGGGAGGCUGAGGCAGGAGAAUUGCUUGAACCUGGGAGGCAGAGGGUGCAGUGAGCCGAGAUCGCGCCACUGCACUGUAGCCUGGGUGACAGAGCGAGACUUUGUCUCUA